AUUAGAUGUAAGGGGGUGGAAGUUAUCCAGUUCUUGAAAGGGCUCUAUACUUUUCACCGUCCAGGUGAAGACUGAGGGUUCAAACCAAGUUUACCGAGAUCGUUCAGAGGCAGACUUCCGAGUUAUUUCUCCAAUUCCUUUCUCUUUUUUGCCUAGUCCUUCUUUUCCAACUUACAGUACCUGACAUAUAGUAGGUACUCCAUAAAUAUCUGUUGUACUGAAUCAAAUAUAAAUAUGCUACAUCGUUUGUGCUGUCAGGGUACCUAAAAUUGAGUGAAGACAACACAAAUGCAUUUCACACAUNNNNNNNNNNNNNNNNNNNNNNNNNNNNNNNNNNNNAUAAAUAUCCACUAAUAGGCCUAACACGUCUUUGUUUUUCAGUAUCCUUCAAGAUUUUGCUCACAUUUCAUCCUCCAGAAGCCUACCUGGAUUUUCAGUUAUGUGUCCUGUCUCUGAAAUCUUAUGACAUUUCCUACCUAUAUCAGCAAAUGUGACACUUGAUCACUUAUUUUUCAAUGGAUAGCUUGCCUUUUUCAUUACAUACUACAGUUCCUGAGGGCAGAAAGUGAGGCCACACUUGCUGAGGGCUGAGUACAUACAGUACCUUAUAUACACAGCUAGCUCUUUAGUUGAUUGUUACUGAUAAUAUGUGUCCUACAUCAUGUUCUCAGAAACUUGAGAAUUUAGUAUGUGCUUGGCAAGUAUUAGUACUGAAUAACUAUUUGCUGAAUUGAGUUGAAUUGUUGGGUAGUAUAAACAUCUGAAAAUAUAAAAUUCUUAGAUAUCACAUUCUCAUACCAAAAAUCCCAGAAAAUUAGGAAGGAAUCAAAUAUAAUUCUUGUUAAGCUAUAAUUUGUCUUCCUAUUGCUUUGGGGCAUGUAAUUUAGGCUUUCCACUUCAAAAGCUAUUCUGAUUUCUUGGCCAAAAAUUUUACAUGGAUACUUUGAGGUUAAGAAUAAAGAUACAUGGCAUUUUGAGGCUGGCAGGCACCAUAAGAUCACGUGCUCUAAUCCAGGUGAAAUGUGAGUUCAGAGGGCUGCACAGAUUGCCUUAUGCUUCUGGAGUCUGCUGCAGAGCUUACCUAGUUUCCACGUGUCCUGCUUUCAGGUUCAGUGGUCUUUCUGGGGCACUAAGUUUAGUUGUCAGAAUAGCAUUUCUUCUAAAUGUAUUUAUUAUUAAUGCACUAUAGUAAGUCCCUGGGGUAGAAUAAGCCUCAUCAUUAUAGCUAGUAAGUCAGUCUGAAGCAAUCUGAUAUUCCUGUAAAACUGAAUAAAUUUUGUCAUAAAGUAUCCUUGGGCUCACUGCCUUCUCAGAUGGCAUCAUCUCAUUUGCCCUAUAUUAA
rnacentral:lncRNA from 1 species